rnacentral:rRNA from 1 species
UACGUAGGGGGCAAGCGUUGUCCGGAUUUACUGGGCGUAAAGGAUGCGUAGGCGGCCAUUUAAGUCAGAUGUGAAAUACCCGAGCUUAACUUGGGUGCUGCAUUUGAAACUGGGUGUCUAGAGUGCAGGAGAGGUAAGUGGAAUUCCUAGUGUAGCGGUGAAAUGCGUAGAGAUUAGGAAGAACACCAGUGGCGAAGGCGACUUACUGGACUGUAACUGACGCUGAGGCAUGAAAGCGUGGGGAGCAAACAGG